GCCUGCUGCUGCCAUUCAGGCGUGUCUCUCUCUCUCUCUUUCAUGCCGCUCUCUCCACCCCAUCUUGGGACGGCCAGCUCUAAGAAUUCCUGCUACGACACUGAAUUCAACCAGGAGGUGAUGCCACACUCAAUCAGAAACUAUGCUACUGCUGAAGAGGUAUAUUGAGCCCUGCCUGGUUAACCUCCAGUGAGGUUAUUAGAGAAUUGGGAGAGGCUCAAAUCAGCAUCCUGCACCUAGUUAUCAAACCAUUGUGAAUUCUUGAUUCCUGGAUGGCCAGAAAACUUGUCAUUGGUCAAGAGCAACAUUAAGAUCUGCCUGUUACUCAUACUGAUGCUUCCUGCCCAGCAAGUUCAUCAGAGGGCGAGGAUGAAUUACGGUUGCCAUGAAUGUCCUUGUGAGGCAGUUGGGAAGCCUUGGCUGGAUUGUGAAGGAUAUUUGAAAAGUAUUUUAGAGUCCACCAGAUCAUCCAUGUGAGUGACCAUGCAGCAAAAGAAGGAGGGUCCUCUCAGUGAUUAAGAUAAUCAGCAACUGCUGUGAUGAGAUGCUGCCUUUAAUGCUGCUGCAUGUGGUCAAACCUCCACUCCCAGUCUACCCAGACCAGGACUUGGCUUCCAGGAUCCAGGGGUGUCUGUGUGAAAUGAUCAGCCUGGGCCCCUGAGUGGGUCACUCCCAGUACAGAGAUGUCAUUGAUUGUACCACCGUCAUCAGGCUGUCUUCCACCCUCAGGGAAAAGUAGCAUGUCUU
rnacentral:lncRNA from 1 species